rnacentral:snoRNA from 1 species
AUCCUCCAGUUUGCUUUCCCAUUGGAUCCGAACACUAGUCUUGGGGUUGUAAAGGAGGGAAAAGUAUUGCUGAAGCUGGCCUCACAGCCUUACAGUCUUGUAUAUAGCAUGUGGGCUAGUUUCAAACAGGG